rnacentral:rRNA from 1 species
CACGUAGGGUGCAAGCGUUGUCCGGAAUUAUUGGGCGUAAAGAGCUCGUAGGCGGUUUGUCGCGUCGAAUGUGAAAACCCGGGGCUCAACCCCGGGCCUGCAUUCGAUACGGGCAGACUAGAGUUCGGUAGGGGAGUCUGGAAUUCCUGGUGUAGCGGUGAAAUGCGCAGAUAUCAGGAGGAACACCGAUUGCGAAGGCAGCUCGCUGGGACGUUACUGACGCUGAGACGCGAAAGCGUGGGGAGCAAACAGG